GAAGAGGAAUAGAUCAGAUUUAAUAAAUCUGUAUUUUAUGUAUGUAUUGACAAAGAGCAAACGGCAUCCUUGAAAGAUGCCUUCUCAAAUUACUGUCUUUUCCUCAUCAGUAAGAAAUAGUUGUGUCUUUUUUACCCCCUACAACAUUCUCUAUAAUUCUUUUACAUAAAAGGAAAUAUUUAUUUUUUCAGAAGAACAAAAAUUCAGCUUAAACAAACUGAGAGUGCUUUUUCUUUUAAUCUCUUGGUUUGUUUAAGGAGCUGAAAAAUCAGUUUGAGGCUCAGCCAGAGCAGUUGCAGGUACUUCGCAAGCUGAUAAAGUUCAUCCCUCUCCAGGAGAGGCUGAAACACAUCUCUUAGCAAGGCAGAGGGGAAGCACACACAGAGUUACUGACAAGCACUUCCCUGGAACUCACUGACACGACUUGGAAACAUGCCUCAUUUCCACUGCUUGGCUAAGAAUUUGUUCAGCACGUCUUGAGGAGAAUGACAAAGUGCCUUCAUACCCAUGAGCUGCUGCCAGGCUGAUCCUGAGGACUGCGCUGAAAUUCACUGUUCUGCAGCAGGGACCCUCCUGCCAACAACAGGCAUAUUUCAGCAGUGCACGGAGGGUGACCUCUUGCUUUUUCAAGCAGGCACAGCUCUGAUGCUGGCAGGGGGCCAGAUGAGUGCAGUGCAGGGCCAGCUUUGCUGAUUCACAUCAGCCAUACAUCUUCUCACACCAGCGAAAUCCUCAGCUGACCUGUAAUCGACGCAAAGGAGGAUGGAUCCAUUGCUAAUGCUGUAACUCAAUCCAGCUUUUAUGAUAUUAAAAUCUUACCAAUUAGUGAUGCACUGCGGGAUGGGUCUACAUAGCUAAUCAAAAGCAGACCUCACACCUUCUUAAAUUUUCAAGCUGAAAACAAUGAGUAUCUAAAUGUAGUGGGAACAAAAAAAGACUAACAAUACAUCAAAUUAACCACUGCAAUAUAUUGUCUGUAGGUUUGCUAGGACUUGUUACAGUAUUCCUGCUUAAACUGAAAUUGCAAAUGUUAGCUGGAAGUGAGCAUGCCGUUACUGGAAAGAAUGCAUGUGUGUUCUUUCUUUUUGAUUCAAGAUACCAAACUUCUGCACAUGCAUGAGAAGAAAUAAACUUGAAUUCUUGCUUUCCACUUUGGGCAGCAACUACCUCACCAUUUCCAUUCCAAAUGUUCAUUUAUUUUGUUUAUCUGUUAUCAUCCCUUUCCCAGGACACAUUGUUGUCUCCAGAACAAAUUCUCCCUACUAAAUAGCUGCUAUGUGUUAGAACUUACUCCUCCAGCCAAAACAACAAUCUGUGUAAUAAUUUCUGCAUUAUGUAAACAGGCCAACUACCCGGAGUUGGUAAAAAUCAAAGUACUCAUUUGUUAUUUGCUCUAUAGUCUGCUGAAAGAAUGAAAAGACUAUAAAUGCCUCAGGAGGAUACUGAAAACUCUUACUGCCCAGGAAAUAAAAGUUUACAUUGAAACUUUGUGGAUAUCAAGUCUGUGCAUGUGAAGUUUCUUCCUGUUUUAAAAAUACUUUUUUUUUUUUUAAUGGUGGGAACUUUUCCUGGGAUAUAAGAAUGAUGAACACCAAGAGAGCAACCAAAUGACACUGUCUUACAACUGUGAUCAAAUUUUCUGUCCUUAUGCUGCUUGCCCAAGUUGGUCCAACUGGAGGUGCCUCGAUUUUAUGUGACAAGCCUUGUGAUGCACUUGUGAGAUGGCAGCUGAGCCCCCCAAACACCCCGAGUUUCAGACACGGACUGCUGUUGCAGUUAACAGAUGUAACACACCCAUGAGUAGUGCAUCACCUGAGGCAGCUGACUUCCCAACAGAAGAUUCUGUCUCUGCUUGAGAGCUGGGGAAAGUCUGAUGGCUCCAAUGAACAUUUUUGAAUUGCAAAUGUGGCUUUGAAUAAAACAGACACAUAUAGCCAUUUAUUUAUUUAUUUAUUAUGCUUAGACCAUUGACAGUUAUUUAAAACUUGAGAAUGAAAUCCACUUGGUAUUUGCAUAUGAGAGUUUUACAUUUAUAUAAACUUAGCUUUAUAUUUUGGGGAGAAGGAGAGUAAUGGUAGGCAGGCAAAAUGCUUUGGCAUCCUGUACAGUAGCUCACAGCUCAGUCACAUGCAGGUUUAGUCAUUGCCACGGCUGGGACUAGUGUGACUUGGGUUCAGUGCUCCCUUAUGCUUAGACUGCUUUGAGAACAUCCUAGCUCUGUACCUCACGCUACAGAGGUGGACAUCUGCCUUGCCCAAAAGCCACAGGUGAGCAGCAGCUCGCCUCCUUUGUGCUCCUGCUGGGGACACUGUUUAUAGUGAGCAGGGACUGGGACGUGCCAGGACCCACAUCCCCAGGAUGCUGCCACAGCUCUGUGGCACCUGACGCCAGGAUCAGCUCAGCUGUCUCUGCACAGAGCACCUCCCUGCUCCUGCAGUGACAGUGAAAGUCAGGGAUUAUGCAGAGAGUCACCUCCAUGAUUAUUCAUGUAUUUCUUUUUAUAUUGAUAUUGGUAAGGCCUAGUAUUAAUCUGCUUUGCAAGCCUGGAUGAGAGCAAUUCAGUGAAGCUUUUCUGAGCACAAUGCAGCCCAACUACACUAAAUGACUCUCAAGAGGCGCUGUAUUGCAAGUGUGGACUGGCUGGUACAAAUUAUGUCUUGGGAAGGCCCAGGAGUCUCCAAAGAAAAAAUCCACCCAUCUGGAACCACUUGUAUGAGAACCCACGAUUUCUAAAUCCCUAAGCGCCAGAUCCUACAGUCCACACAUACCCAAAAGUAUAAUUAAUAUUGACAGGGGAAACGGCUGCAUCAAGCAAUCCUGAAAUGAGAGCUUAUUUGUGUUAAAUACAUCUUAAAUUCCAAGUUUAAAGCAGCAAUCAAGUUUUUAAUUGCUCCUUUCAGCUGUGGUUUUCUAAGAAGUAGAAAAUAACUGCACAGGUGUUGGUUAACUUAGAAAAGUCUACUCUGAAAGAUUUUGCAAAAUGUUCAUAAUAAUAAAAUAGAACCAUUUUUGCAAUGUGCCAGAAAAAUUCCAAGUUAACAAAAAAAAAGUCUAGCUCAAAGCCAGACCACCAAAAUAGAAACUAAAGACAGUGCUACAAAUAUAGUCUCAGAAAUUGGUUCACAUAAUUUAUCUUCUAAGUAAAGAGAGAAAUUAUUUUAAUUUCUGUUUUAAAAAUGUUUUGAAAUAUCCCACUGGUAUUGUAGGUCAUCUUUAUUAAUGUAAAAGCCAAGACUCAUGUUUUGUUAUCACAUACAUCUUUAUGCAGUAAAAAAUGCAUGAAAAAAAUUGUUAUAAUGUACUUCUAGGGCUUUGCAGUAAAGUGGGAGGAAUUUCUGUGCAAAUUACUAGAUGAAUCAAUUUUCCUUUCAGGGAGUAAAGAGGAAGAAAACAGAAUAAUUGAGAUGGGUUUUCAGGACCUUUUCUGUUUUAUAGAAAUUGCUUUUUUUCUGGAAGAAACAACUUUUCUGAUGCCACAACCUGUUAAAAUAACAUCUUCAACAAUUAAUACGUUAAAUUGGAAAACUGGAAAUAAAUAAAUGCAUAUGAGUGUGCUGAAUAUGAGGCUCAUCUGUUGACAAAAAUGGAGUAAUUUUUAUAUAGCUGCAGUAGGAGCAGCUUCACUUUGAACAAAAUGGGCUGAAUGAUAUUUCUUUGACAUAAUGCUGCAUCCUAGGUCAGGUGGCUAAGCUUUAUUUUAUAAACAUGAGAAGUAAAACUUGCACUGUAAAGAACAGCACAGUGUGUCAGAGGACAAGAGACAAGACAGGAACAAAAUAAAGUCAAAGACACACACAGAAGUUGAGCUUCUCUUACCCACAACCUAGCAGAGGUAUUUAGAGAAGUUGGAAGCACCUUCAUUCAGAAGAAGUUAGAAGGAACUCUGGGAUAUUUGGAAAUUCGUGGGCUGAGUCAUCAUCUUUAAAGGAAAUGCUGAGAAAUUGCCAAGGGCCCUAGAAAUCUACACUUACAACAGGAGGUGAAAUCCAGCCUACAAAAGCAAAGGAGCACACAUGGAAGGUAAAUCAUGAAUGUAUCUAAGAGAGCUCUAAAGAGUUUCUACUCAGGGCAUUGCCACUGACUGCCCCUGGGAACUCCUAGUCCAAAAAAAAAAAUAGGAAACAACACAGGAAACAAAUAUUCAUAUGCCACCUAUAAAUUCAACAACUUAUCUAUACGAUGCACCUCUAUAAUUUAUGACUCAGUAUUGACUGUACUUAACAUGACACACAACAAAGUCACACAGACUCUGCUGUUUCCUUACUGCCUGAAAGAGGCCUCCAAAUAGAAUAUUUCCCCUAAUUUAACUGUUUUCCCUGAGUAGACUAUGUUUUCUCCAGCCUCCUGUGGCUCUGUAGUUACAAUUUCCAAUGCUUACAUACAAAUUUGCCAAACUCAUCUUUUCUAGACAUCAACUGAAUUUCUGCUUCCAUAAGCAUGAUGAGCUCAGGCAGUUGUUGUGCAGCCCUGGCACAGCACCAUGUCAUUUCCUCUACUGUUCCCACCAGCCCUCAGCCACAGCUCACCCACCUCUCCCAGCAGCACCAACUGUUCCAACACCACUAGGAACUCCACAAGCCCAGGUGUCAAGAGGAACAGGGGUGGUGAACUGAUCCCUUCCUCCUGCCAAAGCCUCCACAGCAAGCAUGGCAACAGACAAGGAGGGAAAGCAGGGAAUCUAAAGCCAGCCCCAAACUUCACCCCUUUUCUGGAGCUCUGUGUAAGUACUAGCGUAGGCGGGUGCAUUUCCUACUUCACCAAAUCCUUAGAAUGGACACCAUAGGUGAAAUUUAUUAAAUAUUGACAACUUUCCCAUUCUUACCUAUCUCAAAGGGCUCACUCGUCCUCACUGACCCACCAGGGUGCUUCUAACUCUUUUCCUCUAGUCCUGCCUGUUUUCAAGGAGUGCAGCAACAGAGAGGAGAACAUCAGGUAAAUGGCACUCUCUGAAGCUCCCUAAGUCAGUCCAGCCUUCACCUCGAUGCCUGAAAUUGCUCUUCUUUUCACAGUGACAUCUCUCCCACAGACUGGGAUAGGGGGAACAGGGAAGGAGGAGGGGGGAGGAGGAAGGAGACAAAUCAGAAGAUUAGGUCCUUUGAUUGCUGUGCAUAAAAUAAUUAAUCAAUAAUGACACUGUAAACCUGUGGUGCAACUUCACAGGCAUUAAAAUAUGAAUACAUCAGUAAAUUUAAUUGCCAGUAGUCUUGAGCAAAGUCACAGAUGAAGCAUAUACAGCAAACAUUUCAAAGCUUUCAGUUCUUGCUUGACAGGGCCUUCACUUGCAUCCUUACUUUUCAAACACUCUACAUCAAAAAGGCACACAUGCUCAAGGCAACAACAUCCUCUCAAGAAAGUAACUUCUGCAUUUUGAAAGAGAAUUAAGACAUACUUUACUUUCCUUUGGCUUACCAGUAAUUCUUACCUCCUACCACAGCCAAAUCUUCCCAUGCUCAUGCCAUUUGAUAUACAGGGCAUGCUGUGGUACUCUCCUGGGCAACACAAGUCACAGCAAUAAGUAGGUUUACCCUUUCUGGUCCUCUACCACUGGGAGACAUUAACCAGGCUAUAACAAACAAUUCCCAGACUUAGGAAAGCUAAGUAGCAUUGCACUUUUCUUACACUCAACAGUAAACAUCUCAGCCGUUUCUGUUUCUCAGUUACAGCAUGUCUUGCAGGAGCUUCAGAGAACAAGGUGUCAGACUGAAGCUGCAGAACAAGGAGGGAAGAGAGGGGGGCGGAGUAACAGAAAAGGGAAGAGUUUCUUUGUUCCCAUGCUCUGCAGAAACUGCUCAUUCUGGGACUGUGGGCUGGAGAGAUCAAGAGAAGUGAAAAGGCACUGUAUAUCCCAGCCCAGCAGCUUUGAUGCUGUGAGCCAGUGGGGAAGCAGGUGACCCAAGGUCUAGUUCUCAGAUUCUCCAUUUGGGGAAGCACCCUGUAUUAACCUCAUACAAGAGGCAGGUAAAGGAUGUGUUUAUCCAUUCCUCCCCAUCUGAUGGGGAACAACUGAGAUUAUUUAUACCUCUGGGCAACACAGGUCUGUGAACAACUUGUUCUGUUCUCAGCAGUGCAACAGUGUUGUAACAUGCUAAGGGUUUGUUUUCAAUGCUUUGUGCACUGACAAAAAACCCCAAACAAAUCAAACAUAUUUUUAAAUUCUUGCUAACAAAAGUAAAAACCAUUUUGUCUUAACAUACAGGUAAAUUGUAUUGUUCUCUAAUAAUACUGAAAACUUCAAUUAUACUCAAUUUCAUUUGCAGGUAAUCAAAAUGUUUCAAACAGAAAAUGCAUGGUAGGAAAUGGUGCGUAUCAGGUAUCACCAACUGUCCUUAGAUAGCAUUUGCAACUAUAUUCCAGUCAUACAAUCAAAGUACUUUGUGGCUGUGUGGUUUUCUGUUGUUUGGGUUUUUUUUUUAAGCAUGCUAAGGCAUGAGAAGAAGAGUAGUCUUUUAAGGUCCCUCCUUGGACUCCACGGUUCUGUAAUCAGAUCCAUAAAAUGUCCUCAAGCUUGGUGGGUCAGCAUCAAUGACAGCCUGAUCAGCUUCACCUACUGGCCAGGGCUCCUUUUUCUGCUCACAUAUUGGCCCACAGAGCACCUGCAGCAGUACUGAUGCACAUGUAAUUUACUUCUGCAACCAAAUUCCACUGAAAUAUUCUGCCCAAAUAUUUUCCAUUUGCCAUACUAAAGGACAAAGCUGCAUCUUCUUUUUGUCAAUGGGAAAGUGAGUGACAGAUUGGGUAUCCUCAAAGUCACUGAUUUUUGCCUUUGAAUAUCACCAAGUUUUUUGUGCUGCUUCUGGAAAAACUUCAUGAUCUUACAGGUGUAAACUCACUCAUUUCUCCCAGCAAUCCCAUGUAAUGGUAGUGAGACUUCUGUUAUCUACCAGUACUCAAUAACAAGGUCAUAUCCCGCUUGAGAAGAGUGCUGAUGAGGGAUAAAGGACAAGGAAAUUGCACAGGAAAAGAAAAUUAAAUGCUUAUCCCAAUCCAAUACCACUUCAAGAACUCUAUUGCUUCAAGUCCACCCAGUCACACCAAGUGCAGCAAGACACACACCUGCAUGCCCUGAGCAAAGGCACCCUCAGAGAUUUCCCCAUCUCAAACUGACCUUAUUUUAUUAUUGCUAGUGUGGACUUGCUAACAUUUGUAAUCCCAGCACCUCUGUUAAGUGCUUGUAUCAUUCCACAGCUAAAAUAUAGGGAAAACAAUAUUUUCCCUUAGCACUGCACAGACCAUCCCAGGGAGAUGUACACAGCAGGGAACCAUCUGCCUGCCCUGGUGGUAUUUCUUUGCUCCGAACACCAUUAAUGGCAUUUCACUGUUACAAAGUGAAUAAAACCCGGGAGCUGAGCCUAGGCAGGUAUGGUGGAAGACACAUGCCAGAAUGCCCAAGUGCAAGGUGGGAAGCUUAGGCAGAGGAGGCUUGAACUCUUAGCUCAUGUUAUACAUUUCAAGGACAUGCCAUGUCCCUGUUUAUGCUAGGAACAUCUACUCCUGGACACACAGUCCAGGUCCUCUGCCACCAAGUUGUCUUGCAGAUUAUUAACUAAGCAGUCCCACUAACCAGUAGCACCACUCUACAGCCCACAACCUUCAUGUAACCUUAUAUUUGGGGUAACAGAGGGCAUUUAUGGACACUGAGUAUCAGCAAUGUAGAUGGUACUUAUAUCAAAAGCACUUACACUGCAGCCAGUGUAAGCAAUGUAGCUGUUUUUAAACAACCAUUCCUGACUUCAGAUCAUUAGAACUGCCAUUUGAAGUGGCAGGUGGAAUUUUCUACACCUGCUGAUGUAGGUUCAGAUAAAAUGUUCAUAUUGCAUGGUUCAGAAAAGAAAGCAAUCUGGAAACUGACUAUGAUCCAAGUUUAGCUUUGAACAGAAUAAAAAAAAAGCUACCCAAAUUUCAUGCAAAUGCUUUUAUGGAUGCAAAUGUUUGCAAUUAAAAAAUCUAAAGAAAACACUUUGGUGUUUUUAUGUAAACAGUCCCCUGCUGCGUUGGAAAUAUUGACACAGCAACAGUGCACUGAGACAUUGCAGAAAAUAAAGUAUUCUUUAAAGUAAAGAAAGCAUUACAACCACCAAAAAAGGUAAAAGUACUUAUUGAAUUCUUUCAAGUUUAUAAAUAGUAAGAUAUUGUAAACAUGUUCCUGCUAUUUAAAUCUCUGCUGGUCUUUACCUGAUUGUCCAGUAAACUGCUAAACUGCACCAAAGCCAAGUGGUUUUGAUUAGAUUCCCAGGUGAAGACAAAAAAUAAGUGCUGGACCCAUAAAUUUUUAUGGAUCAAAAUGUCCUUUAUUGUGUAUGCUAAACUUCAUGAUAGGGUAAAAACCAAACCUGAGUACCAAAACAAGUAGGGAAAGCAAGAUCUUUAUUGUUUCUCCAGCCAAGUUUUCAGAGAUGUAAUCUCUUCAUAGGAAGAGUUACCAAAAGCACUCCCACAGACACCAUUGAUUGCUGCAGUCCCUGUUAAGCCUAUGACCUGAAAAGAAGCUUGGUAACUUCACCAGGCAACAGUUCCACCAACACUAAGGUUGUUAGAACUGAGUCACAUCCCUUCCCUCAAUGGUUACAACAGUCUGUGGGGCUUUUAGGGUUGAUUUUACCAGAGGAGUGGACAGGGAAAAAUGCUGCCAAUGCCACUGACUUCUCAAAACCACACAAGCCUUGCAGGUAGCUGGGCAGCCUCCUGUGUGCUCUCUACCCAGCCACACUUA
ensembl:lncRNA